AGUAAAUAUUGACUAUUAUCUUGUUAUAAAAGAUUUGUUGAACCUCUGUAGUCACAGAUCAAUAUUUGUGUUCGAGCGAUACGCAAUUAUAGCCAUGAACAAAAUUACUUUCGUUUUGCUGCUGGUCGCUUUGUUCGCGAUUACGAAGGCGCAUCCUCAAGGAGUGAACGUCGUUGAUCACGCGGGAGGCGGUGGAGUGAGCGUCGUUGAUAACAACCCAGGCUACGUACAUGUAGUAGACGGAGAACAUCAAGUUAAUGUCGUGGACAAGCCAGCAGGACCUCCGAACGGAGCAAGAGGUGGAGGCAACUGAACAGAAGAACCAGAUGACUUCUAUUCUAAUA